rnacentral:rRNA from 1 species
UACAGAGGGUGCGAGCGUUAAUCGGAAUUACUGGGCGUAAAGCGUGCGUAGACGGUUAUUUAAGUCGGGUGUGAAAGCCCCGGGCUCAACCUGGGAAUUGCAUUCGAGACUGAAUAGCUAGGGUACGGUAGAGGGAAGUGGAAUUUCCGGUGUAGCGGUGAAAUGCGUAGAUAUCGGAAGGAACAUCAGUGGCGAAAGCGACUUCCUGGACCAGUACUGACGUUCAGGCACGAAAGCGUGGGGAGCAAACAGG